rnacentral:rRNA from 1 species
UAGAUACCCAGGUAGUCCCAGCUGUAAACGAUGCGCGUUAGGUGUGUCAGUGACCACGUGUCACUGAGAUGCCGAAGGGAAACCGUGAAACGCGCCGCCUGGGGAGUACGGUCGCAAGGCUGAAACUUAAAGGAAUUGGCGGGGGGAGCACCACAACGGGUGGAGCCUGCGGUUUAAUCGGACUCAACGCCGGAGAUCUCACCGGAUAAGACAGCUGAAUGAUAGUCGGGAUGAAGACUCUACUUGACUAGCUGAGAGGAGGUGCAUGGCCGUCGUCAGUUCGUACUGUGAAGCAUCCUGUUUAGUCAGGCAACGAGCGAGACCCACGCCAACAAUUGCCAGCAUGACCUUCGGGUUGAUGGGGACGAUCGUUGGGACCGCCGUCUGCGUAAAGGGGAGGAAGGAAGUGGGCGAACGGUAGGUCAGCAUGCCCGAAUUAUCCGGGCUACACGCGGGCUACAAUGGUCAGGACAAUGGGUUACCGACACCGAAAGGUGAAGGCAAUCUCCUAAACCCGUCCGAAGUUCGGAUUGCGGUUGUAACUCACCCG